GAUCCUGGCUCAGGAUGAACGCUAGCGACAGGCUUAACACAUGCAAGUCGAGGGGCAUCAUGAGGUAGCAAUACCUUGAUGGCGACCGGCGCACGGGUGAGUAACGCGUAUGCAACCUGCCCGAUACCGGGGUAUAGCCCAUGGAAACGUGGAUUAACACCCCACUAGUACUUUAUUCCUCGCCUCGGGAGUGGGAGGUUAAAUAGUUCUAGGUAAGUCGGAGUGGGCGAUGCGUCCUACUUAGUUAGUUUGGUCGGGG
rnacentral:rRNA from 1 species